AACGUAGGAGACAAACGUUAUCCGGAGUUACUGGGCGUAAAGCGCGCGUAGGCGGCUUUGCAAGUCGGGUGUGAAAUCCCCAGGCUUAACCUGGGAACUGCAUUCGAGACUGCAUUGCUAGAGUAUGGGAGAGGGAAGUGGAAUUUCCGGUGUAGCGGUGAAAUGCGUAGAUAUCGGAAGGAACAUCAGUGGCGAAAGCGACUCCUGGACCAAUACUGACGCUCAUGUGCGAAAGCGUGGGGAGCAAACAGG
rnacentral:rRNA from 1 species